rnacentral:tRNA from 1 species
GAGGGUACAGCUCAGUGGCAGAGCGUGUGCUUAGCAUGCAUGGGGUCCUGGGUUCAAUCCCCAGUACCUCCA